GUAAUACUCUCUUCGAUCCGUAUUAAUUGUCAAAAUAUUACAUGUAUCUAGACGCUUCUUAGGCAUUGAUACAUCCAUAUUUGGAUAAAUUUGAGACAAUUAGUAUGGAUCGGAGAGAGUACCAA
rfam:Brachypodium distachyon strain Bd21 chromosome 4, whole genome shotgun sequence.